rnacentral:lncRNA from 11 species
GAAGAACUUGGGCAUGUUGUACAUUAACUUGGCUUUUUUUCACUUCUUGCCAAGUUCUCUGUUUAGCUUCUGGGAAAAAAAGUCCCAAAUGGCUGGCACAUUCUACUGUCUCACUACUAAGAACUUUUUGGCUCUUUCUACACAAAGAAGAUCAAAGAAAGGAAUCUCAAGCUCUUCCAGCACUCUAUGGUCAAUUCCAAGAACUAUUUUCCCAAACUAUCAAUCUCAGGAGCUAUGACUGUUAAAAUGUUAAGAAACUGCUAUAAUU